AAAUCCCUAGGCUAAGCUGGGCCUGACCCAGCAUCCUCUGCCUUCUAGGAAGUGCCCAGCAAGAGGGAAAGCAGACCCGAAGUGACUCCCCUUUAGUCACUCCACAAGCAAUAGCUCCAUGAGAGGCAUGGACUGUGAGACUACUCCCUCCUGUUCCUCCUUCUCCAUCCCCCAUGGAGGAGGCAUCGCACUUUACCAAGCUGAUGCAUUCCUACAGAAGUGGGCCCCGGAUUUCUGCAAGUCGACUAUCAUGAUGACUUCGCUGGAGGAAAGCUUCCUCAUCUGCAAAAUUCUGCGCCAAAAGAUCGCUCAGAGGAUUUUAAAAAAGAAAAAAAAAAAAAGACUAGAACUCCUACCACACAGCAGGGUUUUGCUCAAACAAAAACAAAAGCAAAAACGACCCUUUCUUUCCAUCUCCCCGGCUAAGGCGAUUUCUUUAGCAUCAACCUACAGCCCCCUCGUGCACCCAGCUGAAACGCCAUCAAUAUCGCCGAACAGCUUCCAGACCUAUCUGUGAACAAACAAGUGAGGUCUCCAAGAACGCCAACCGUAACCCCACGUCAGGGAGCCAUUUUCCAGUCAAGAAAAUGAAAAGGUGUGCAAGAAAGACCUAAGGAAUAAAAUACCCCUCCCAGCAAUCAUCGAUGCACCUUCCCACGUCGCUCGGGACCCAGCACAAA
rnacentral:antisense_RNA from 1 species